UCCGGCCUGAGAGGGUGACCGGACACAUUGGGACUGAGAUACGGCCCCAGAUCCCUACGGGAGGCAGCAGUGGGGAAUUUUGCACAAUGGACGGAAAUUCUGAUGCAGCGACGCCCGCGUGAGGGAUGUAGGCCUUCGGGUUGUGAACCUCUUUCGCUCAUGGUCAAGCCGCAGUUUUGGGUUGUGGUGAGGGUAGUGGGUAAAGAAGCGCCGGCUAACUACGUGCCAGCAGCCGCGGUAAUACGUAGGGCGCGAGCGUUGUCCGGAAUUAUUGGGCGUAAAGGGCUUGUAGGCGGUUUGUCGCGUCUGCCGUGAAAUCCUCUGGCUUAACUGGGGGCGUGCGGUGGGUACGGAUGGGCUUGAGUGCGGUAGGGGAGACUGGAAUUCCUGGUGUAGCGGUGGAAUGCGCAGAUAUCAGGAGGAACACCGGUGGCGAAGGCGGGUCUCUGGGCCGUUACUGACGCUGAGGAGCGAAAGCGUGGGGAGCGAACAGGAUUAGAUACCCUGGUAGUCCAUGCUGUAAACGUUGGGCACUAGGUGUGGGGGCCACCCGUGGUUUCUGCGCCGUAGCUAACGCUUUAAGUGCCCCGCCUGGGGAGACGGCCGCAAGGCUAAAACUCAAAGGAAUUGACGGGGGCCCGCACAAGCGGCGGAGCAUGCGGAUUAAUUCGAUGCAACGCGAAGAACCUUACCAAGGCUUGACAUGCGCCCUGACGCUGCAGAGAUGUGGUGGCCUUCGGGGGGGUGUGCAGGUGGUGCAUGGUUGUCGUCAGCUCGUGUCGUGAGAUGUUGGGUUAAGUCCCGCAACGAGCGCAACCCUUGCCCUAUGUUGCCAGCGCGUUGUGGUGGGGACUCGUGGGGGACUGCCGGGGUUAACUCGGAGGAAGGUGGGGAUGACGUCAAAUCAUCAUGCCCCUUAUGUCUUGGGCUUCACGCAUGCUACAAUGGCUGGUACAGAGGGUUGCGAUACUGUGAGGUGGAGCGAAUCCCUUAAAGCUGGUCUCAGUUCGGAUUGGGGUCUGCAACUCGACCCCAUGAAGGUGGAGUCGCUAGUAAUCGCAGAUCAGCAUUGCUGCGGUGAAUACGUUCUCGG
rnacentral:rRNA from 1 species